UGGCAAGUCCUACACAACUAGCUCCUGUUGAAUCCUCCAGGUCGGGAACGAAGCAAAGGUAAAUGGUCGUAGCAGUGUGAUGUAGGUAGCUUGCCUUUU
rnacentral:SRP_RNA from 5 species